GACGAACGCUGGCGGCGUGCUUAACACAUGCAAGUCGAACGAGAAGAGAUGAGAAGCUUGCUUCUUAUUGAUUCGAGUGGCAAACGGGUGAGUAACGCGUAAGCAACCUGCCCUCUAGAUGGGGACAACAGCUGGAAACGGCUGCUAAUACCGAAUACGUUUUUUCUGUCGCAUGGCAGAGGGAAGAAAGGGAGGCUCUUCGGAGCUUUCGCUGGAGGAGGGGCUUGCGUCUGAUUAGCUAGUUGGAGGGGUAACGGCCCACCAAGGCGACGAUCAGUAGCCGGUCUGAGAGGAUGAACGGCCACAUUGGGACUGAGACACGGCCCAGACUCCUACGGGAGGCAGCAGUGGGGAAUCUUCCGCAAUGGACGAAAGUCUGACGGAGCAACGCCGCGUGAACGAUGACGGCCUUCGGGUUGUAAAGUUCUGUUAUACGGGACGAAUGGUACGACGGCCAAUACCCGUCGUAAGUGACGGUAC
rnacentral:rRNA from 1 species